rnacentral:lncRNA from 1 species
GCUCCGACGGCAUCAAUUGGGGAUUUGAUGGUCGCAAAUUAAGUUUACUGGCGACGCGUUAGAGGAGACAGUAAACGGGUAUUUGCGACCAUCAAAUCCCCAAUUGAUGCCAUCGGAGGUUAAAAUACAAUAUUGUUAUCUCCAUUCUAAUGAAACUGACAGAAAACAACGUUAAAACAUGUAAUUAAAAUCUGUCAUAUGCCGCCUGCGCUUGCACGUACGUCCCAUAGCAUCAAUUGUCAAUUGAUGCCAUGUAAGAAAGUGACGUUAUCCAAUCAAAAUGAACGUUACAAACGUU